rnacentral:rRNA from 1 species
UACGAAGGGGGCUAGCGUUGUUCGGAAUUACUUGGCGUAAAGCGCACGUAGGCGGGUCGUUAAGUCAGGGGUGAAAUCCCAGAGCUCAACUCUGGAACUGCCUUUGAUACUGGCGACCUAGAGUUCGGAAGAGGUUAGUGGAAUUCCCAGUGUAGAGGUGAAAUUCGUAGAUAUUGGGAAGAACACCAGUGGCGAAGGCGGCUAACUGGUCCGAUACUGACGCUGAGGUGCGAAAGCGUGGGGAGCAAACAGG